rnacentral:rRNA from 1 species
AGAAAUCAACCGAGAUUCCCCCAGUAGCGGCGAGCGAACGGGGAGGAGCCCAGAGCCUGAAUCAGUGUGUGUGUUAGUGGAAGCGUCUGGAAAGGCGCGCGAUACAGGGUGACAGCCCCGUACACAAAAAUGCACAUACUGUGAGCUCGAUGAGUAGGGCGGGACACGUGGUAUCCUGUCUGAAUAUGGGGGGACCAUCCUCCAAGGCUAAAUACUCCUGACUGACCGAUAGUGAACCAGUACCGUGAGGGAAAGGCGAAAAGAACCCCGGCGAGGGGAGUGAAAAAGAACCUGAAACCGUGUACGUACAAGCAGUGGGAGCCUCUUAAUGGGGUGACUGCGUACCUUUUGUAUAAUGGGUCAGCGACUUAUAUUCUGUAGCAAGGUUAACCGAAUAGGGGAGCCGAAGGGAAACCGAGUCUUAACUGGGCGUUAAGUUGCAGGGUAUAGACCCGAAACCCGGUGAUCUAGCCAUGGGCAGGUUGAAGGUUGGGUAACACUAACUGGAGGACCGAACCGACUAAUGUUGAAAAAUUAGCGGAUGACUUGUGGCUGGGGGUGAAAGGCCAAUCAAACCGGGAGAUAGCUGGUUCUCCCCGAAAGCUAUUUAGGUAGCGCCUCGUGAAUUCAUCUCCGGGGGUAGAGCACUGUUUCGGCAAGGGGGUCAUCCCGACUUACCAACCCGAUGCAAACUGCGAAUACCGGAGAAUGUUAUCACGGGAGACACACGGCGGGUGCUAACGUCCGUCGUGAAGAGGGAAACAACCCAGACCGCCAGCUAAGGUCCCAAAGUCAUGGUUAAGUGGGAAACGAUGUGGGAAGGCCCAGACAGCCAGGAUGUUGGCUUAGAAGCAGCCAUCAUUUAAAGAAAGCGUAAUAGCUCACUGGUCGAGUCGGCCUGCGCGGAAGAUGUAACGGGGCUAAACCAUGCACCGAAGCUGCGGCAGCGACACUAUGUGUUGUUGGGUAGGGGAGCG